GUAUAAUGUUACAAAACAAAAAGAACGAGGCGGUUAAGAGUAAUUUUGUAAAAAUUAGUGGGAAGAAAUGUAAAAGGCAAGAAGUUGUCGCGGAGCUGGGGGUUGACACAGAAGCCAACAUCGAAACAUCGUAUUCUCCGAGUUUUCCUCAUGUUAAUAUCCCCAGAGAUUUCCGGCCACCGGCGGUGGGUCUACACCACAUUUCUCAACUCAAACAACUUCAGGCACUUCCUCUCAACCACCGUCGACACCAUCGCCACCGCCGCCGACCCGUUUAAGACGCACCCGUCAUACCAGCACCUCUCCACCAUUAAAUCCAAAUCGGAGCUUCUCCGGUCCUACACUGUCACACCCCCCAUCAAACCCUGGCCCCGAUACCUCUCCCCUAAAACACUCAUUACACUCAUCAAAUCCCAGCAUGAUCCAAACCUUUCCCUCCAAAUUUUCCACCAUGCUGGCAACUUCCACCCUGGUUUUUCCCAUAAUUACGAAACCUACCACUCCAUCAUCAACAAACUCUGCCGUGCGCGCGCGUUUGAUGAAGUAGAGACCCUUUUAACCGAAUUGCAAAAGUCCAGCAUCCAAUGUGGGGAAGGUUUGUUUAUUACUAUGAUUCGGAACUAUGGGAUUGCUAGUAAGCCCAAAUUGGCCCUUAAGACCUUUCUGCGUAUUGAAAAAUUUGGAAUUCAGAGGUCAAUUAGGUCAUUUAACGCUUUGUUGAAUGCUUUAGUACAAAACAAAGAGUAUGAUUUGGUUUACGCUAUUUUUAAGAAUUGCCAGAAAAAGUUGGAUAUAAUGCCCAGUGUGUUUACUUGUAAUAUAUUGUUGAACGCUUUGUGUAAGAAAGGCGAUAUUGAUAGUGCUAUUCGAGUUCUUGAUGAGAUGCCUGUGAUGGGAAUAGUUCCCAAUGUGGUGAGCUACACAACCAUUUUGGGUUGUUAUGUAUCAAUUGGUGAUUUAGUGGGGGCCAAGAGGAUGUUUGAUGAAAUUGUGGACAGAAGUUGGUUGCCUGAUGCAACGACGUACACUAUCUUGAUGCAUGGAUUUGCUAAGCAAGGGAAGUUGAUUGAUGCAGUUAAGAUAAUGGAUGAGAUGGAGGAGAAUGGUGUUGGGCCGAAUGAGGUGACGUAUGGAGUGAUGAUCGAGGCAUUUUGCAAGGAAAAGAAGUCCGGUGAAGCAGUUAAUUUGCUUAAUGAUAUGCUAGAUAAGAGGUACAUACCAAGCUCAACACUUUGCUGUAAGGUGAUUGAUGUCUUGUGUGAAGAGGGAAAUGUUGAGGAGGCGUGUGAUUUGUGGAAGAAAUUGUUGGUAAAGAAUUGUACUCCAGAUAAUGCUAUAUCGAGCACACUUAUUCACUGGCUUUGUAAGAAGGGAAAGAUUCGGGAAGCAAGGAAAUUGUUUGACGAGUUUGAGAAGGGUUCGAGUCCUAGUGUUUUGACAUAUAACAUACUUAUUGCAGGGAUGUGUGAGAGAGGAGAGCUGCAUGAAGCUGGGAGGUUGUGGGAUGACAUGGUGGACAAGGGUUGCAUUCCCAAUGCUUUUACGUACAACAUGUUGAUCAAUGGUUUUUGCAAAGCUGGAAAUGCAAAGGAAGGAAUUAGAGUUCUAGAAGAGAUGCUUGAAAAAGGUUGUCUCCCAAACAAAACUACUUAUUCCAUCUUAAUCAAGGGGCUUCUGGACUCGGAAUGCGAGGCAGAAGUUUUAAGGGUGCUUCCACUGGCUGCUUCAGGUGAUGUCGAUCUUGAAACUUGGGGAAUCCUUGCGGCCAAGUUUGUUACUGAUCUUCGUAAUGUAUGUCCCAUUUUAGAUAAGAUAUUGCUUGAUAAUGAUACAUAAAGGUUUGUUCUGACGCUCUUCAUGCCCAUCAUCUGAUUCUAAUGUGGGCGCAAGCAUGGUUCACAAAAGAAUUAUUGUCUCAUUAAUGAGAGUAUUGGUGAUUGUCUCGGUGCCUGGUUCAAGAAGGUACAAGCUCCCCUAUGCAAACAUUUUUGAAGUUCAUGAGAACCUUGCCAUUGUUGACAACAACUUUGGAGCCAUUUCCGGAAGAAGACUGGAAAAUGAAAAUGUUAAGCAUGGGAUAUGCUGUUUGAUGACGACAUAAAAAGAGUCAAAGAAGCAAUCGUCUAACGGGCUAAGAUGCCAUGCAUCUGCUUCAAAGAGGUUUUCCUUUUUGCAAAGGUGAUAAACAGCCUUUUGGUGGCAGCGAUUGAAGCCUUCUGCCUAGCAGCCUUGGUUUAGCUGUAUGUCUUUUUUUGUUAUUGUACUUAUUUAGCAUAUCCACUUUUUGAGGAUAUUUGCUGAGAUCGAUUGGAUCUUUUGUUUUUUUCGCAAAUACUCACUACAUGAGCAAAUAUUCACUGCAUGUCUCUUUCUGUGAUUACUCUCCGUGCUUCUGU